GAAAUGAAUUCCCAAAGCGAGUGUUCAGGAACAAUCUGACAGAAGGCUAAUGGGACCAGAGACAGGUACAGGCUGACCCAAAAGAACCCCUGUGCUGCAGCAUGUGGAGGACAUUACUCUAGUUACCAAUAUUAGCUGUCACUGAACCAGAUACAUGGAGAGAUAGUCACAUGAAGAUCACCUGUGUGUCAUAAAUAACAAUUUGCUUCUAGAACCUAUAAAGUGAAAAGUCUUCAGCCUCUGGUGCAUCUCAUUUUCACAUCAACAUGAAGUCACUAAAGGAUAAGAUUUGAAGCACUUUGCAAUUGCAAGAUAGAUCACAACCUAUUCAAGAAUAAAAUGGGAGAUAA